rnacentral:rRNA from 1 species
UACGUAGGGCGCAAGCGUUGUCCGGAAUUAUUGGGCGUAAAGAGCUCGUAGGCGGUUUGUCGCGUCUGCUGUGAAAUCCCGAGGCUCAACCUCGGGCUUGCAGUGGGUACGGGCAGACUAGAGUGCGGUAAGGGAGACUGGAAUUCCUGGUGUAGCGGUGGAAUGCGCAGAUAUCAGGAGGAACACCGAUGGCGAAGGCAGGUCUCUGGGCCGCAACUGACGCU